rnacentral:rRNA from 1 species
UAGGGGGCAAGCGUUAUCCGGAUUUACUGGGUGUAAAGGGAGCGUAGACGGCAGGGCAAGUCUGGAGUGAAAGCCCGGGGCCCAACCCCGGGACUGCUUUGGAAACUGCCCUGCUGGAGUGCUGGAGAGGUAAGUGGAAUUCCUAGUGUAGCGGUGAAAUGCGUAGAUAUUAGGAGGAACACCAGUGGCGAAGGCGGCUUACUGGACAGUAACUGACGUUGAGGCUCGAAAGCGUGGGGAGCAAA